AACGAACGCUGGCGGCGCGCCUAAUACAUGCAAGUCGAGCGAGAAGACGUAGCAAUACGUUUGUAAAGCGGCGAACGGGUGAGGAAUACAUGGGUAACCUACCCUCGAGUGGGGAAUAACUAGCCGAAAGGUUAGCUAAUACCGCGUACGCUCCUUGGACUUCGGUUCAGGGAGGAAAGCGAUACCGUGGGUAUCGCGCUCUUGGAUGGGCUCAUGUCCUAUCAGCUUGUUGGUGAGGAACGGCUCACCAAGGCUUCGACGGGUAGCUGGUCUGAGAGGACGAUCAGCCACACUGGCACUGCGACACGGGCCAGACUCCUACGGGAGGCAGCAGUAAGGAAUAUUGCGCAAUGGGCGAAAGCCUGACGCAGCGACGCCGCGUGGGGGAUGAAGGUCUUCGGAUUGU
rnacentral:rRNA from 1 species